GUAAGGAGCCGACGUGUUGGGAAACAUGAUGGCAACACCACAAGCCAUGAGCUGGCAGUGCAGGAAGCCAGGGAGGGAGCAGCCUCAUCCCAUUGGAUGAAGGUGCCCGUGGAAGGGGAGAACAGCCUGGCCAGAGGCAGGUCAGCAUGUGAUGAGCUGCCCUGUUCCCACCUGGGGGCUUGCCAGCAGACCAGGAGAAGCCCUGCAGCAUCAGGCAUUAAUGGCACUAUUUGGGGACAGCAGAAACUGGAGUAAGAUGGGCAGAAAUCCACCCUGGUGUGCACAAACCAGGCCUUUCACCUGCUCUAAAUCUACUGCUGCCUCAGCCACCCAAGAUGCGGGAAGGAUAUGUGAGCAUUCUGAUGGACACAACAGCCACUU